ensembl:lncRNA
GGAAAUCUAACAAGCAUAAGUUUCUGCAUUUCAUGGUUUUACCAAGGAACAGAUUGGAUGAUGCUACUGUGUCUGUGACAAGACAGAUCCUAGCUGAAGAAAGCAGUUGCAUUUGCCAUCAAGCUGCCCUUUGAAACGCUGUGAGAAGCUGGAAGGUGAGUUUGGGGGUCUCGUGUGGGAGAAAUGGGCAAGCGAUUCUCUCCAUCGCUUCAGACGAACGCAAGUAACUUAUUGUUAUAGUUUGUAGGAUAAACCAUGAGACUGUGGCAUGUGUUACAGGCACAGAAUGUGGGUUGUCUCUCUGACACACUUCCAGGAGAAACUUCAUUGUUUUGAUACCACACACCUCCUGUCUGCCUGUGACAUUGCUGUGGAAGCCUUGCUGACAAGUCUGACUAAUGCACUGAGCGAAGAGGUACCACCAAACCAGCAGCCUACCCAUAGUAGCAGAAAGUUGCAGAAAGUGUCCUUUUUCCACAUAGCCAUUUCCAUAGCAUGAAUUGUUUAUGAGGAAAGUAAGAGCCUGAGCAUUUGCUGGGAAGCUGCUUUAAAUUCACAUUCCAUUGCUCUUCAAAAUGUAUACUACUAAUGCCCUGCUCUUCCAAUUCCGUAAUUUUUAGAUUUUCUCCUGUUCACCAGUCUGAAAGAAAGGAUCUUUCCAGAGUCAUUGACUGUGUCAUGCGGACAUUUUUGCUUUCUUGUGAUUCUCAGCUGUUUCCUCUGAACUGACUUAUCACUUCUGUGUCACAGGUUUCUAACUGGCUUGAGAGAGUUGGCCAUGGUAUGGAAAGAGUCAACAGCUCUACAGAUGGAGGAAGAGGCAGUUCCUGUCUGCAACUGCUUCUUGUCCAAAUUGCCUUGAAAGGUAUAGAAGGAAGAUGAAGACAUAAACCGUAGUACAGCACUGAUCUAUCUGAUAUUCUGCAAAGCCCCCAAUUGCCCCCCUGAGAGAACUCCUCCCUGUCUCACUCCGUAGAUGGUGUCAUCCACCAUAACAGAAUUAAGAUGUUCUCCUUCCAAACUGAUACCCUCUGUGACAAGUGGGAGGUGGUUGCAAGGAUGGUAUCUGUGUUACAUUCGGACCUCUCUUUGCAAGAUCGCUCCAGAGCUUUCCCUGCUAAAUUCAGGAGCCUCUUCCAAGACUUGGAGGAGGUGGGUGUGAGGUUGAAAAUCCUCGACGUGACAAGAGCCUUUGUUCUUACGCCUCAUAUAAACUGGCACAUCUUCAACUGGGGAGGGGAUUUUUGUAUUUUCCUUUCAAAAUUUUCUUAUUUCUUAAAAGAGAGAGUAAAUUCUUCUGUAGCCCAUUUCCAUUUCUGGAAGGCUAGAGCUAGGCAAAAGGGUGGAAGUUCAGAGAUUUACCAAUAUACUGAGGGGCUUCCAAGCUGAAUGAAUUCUUUUUCUCAUCUUGCAUCUUAAUUGGCAAGAAAAGAAAUCAUGCUUUGUUAAAACAGACAUUCGGAAAGAUGCGGAGUUGUACAAAAGCACGGCCAUCCAUCCCUUCCUUCUCUGCUGUAGCCAUCCCUAUCCAAAACAUCUGUAAGAACAUACAGAGAAAUGGUCCUUCAGUAUCAUCUGUGUAUCUGCUCUCUCUGCCCUACAGGAAUAGAAGAUAAUUAUACUUUCUCCCUUUGCUCUCCCUUUUUUUUCUUUUCGCUAAUAAGUGUGCCCUAACAUACAGAAUGUUUAGGGUUUUUUUGACAGAGGAAUCUAAACCUGUGACCCAGAGCUUCUGUUAGGCUUUCAAGAACUGAGCAGCUACAUGCUGUUGUCUUCCCUCCUUUGCAAAUCAAAACAUGUAUUGCACCGGAUAGAAAUGUGGGUUGCUGAAGUGGCAGUUGCUGUAGUUGGCACAGCAAGGGCAUGCAAUCCCAAGCAGGCAUCAAGUAGGCCAGCAAGAUAAGCUGGAUUAUAAAAUUUAGUGUGUGCUUACAAGUUUGGGAAACAUAGUAGAGGAUUAACUACUGCUUAUCAUUACUGGCUAGUGCCCUUGGCAAGUAGACAGCAAUGUCUCUUCCAUUUUUUGAACAACAGUGGAGAUAGUGAUGUUGGAAAAGACAGACCACAGUCGUGUGAAAUAACAAGUUCCUGGUUACGUGGGAUUCACUAUAAACAUUCUCAGCUAAUAAUAAGCACGGUGUGUAACGUGGUGCCCAGUACUUUUAUAUAUACUUACUUGUUGCAGUGGCCCGCUUGUCUUCAAGGAAUCAAUGCUUCCUGAUUAGGAUGUUUUGUGUCAUGAAAUCGCCAGCUACUGAGCUCGUUUGCCACCCGGUGCACCAAAGAUACACCAGCUAACAGCAGAACGCUGUGGAUUCAGGACUGUAAUGUACGCUGUGGUUGGUUUGAAAUUCAUUUGAAUUGAGAGCACUGCUUUUCACUGUUGCACUGCCCAAAGGAGAACGGUAUAGUGUAACUUCAUAUAAAUCAGUCAGUGGGUGCAAAAUAAUGCAGAGCACCAAAAUAGCGACAGUUUCUGAAAAUCAGUAUAUUGCCUAGACUUUUGUGUAUACAUAUAUAUAUAUAUGUAUGUAUACCAGCAUCUGUGUGCGUAUGUGUGCGUAUGUAUGUGUACAUGUAUGCAUGCAUGGGGAGACCUGGAAAAGUUGAGAAAUAUGUUUUGUAAGCAUGGAAGUUGAGUGUUUUUCAAGUGCCAAGUGAAUCACGCAGUUGGUAAAGGUAUCUCCUGCUUAACACAGUGCUUGGUUUCCCGGACACAUUGGAAGAGUUUCUUCCAAUUACUCGAUUUAUCUACGAGAGGCAGCAGCUUAUCUGCAGGGUGCACAGCCUCCUGUGAGGAAGGUGUUUGUCAGCUAUCCCUGUGUAGCAUUAGAUAGAAAUUCAGUAGGAGAGUCCUGCGGGCAGUGCCUUUGAAUUUAAGCUCAGCUCUGGCUUAUUGCCUUUUUAUUAAAUGGUUGCACACGUGGUCAUGGG